CCCCCUGAUGACGUGGUCGUAACGCUUCCUGCGCAUGUGCGGCCAUACAGGCUACGGGCCCAACUCACAUGACGCUGGACUCCCCCCGUGGUCAAGCCAAACAGAGACUGACGCCUCAGUUUCAAGCCGGUUGCACACCGAAAAGUGAAGAUAUGUGAGACUGAACGGCCGUUGGACGCAUUACCUGUCGCUAAUUUACCUGACGGGGAUGCUAAUUGCUAACACCUGUUUAAACAACCAAACAAACAAACAGGAGCUUCAAACAACAAUGUUGCUGACCCUGACGCAGCUGUGCAGGGAGCGAUGGACCUGAGGGAGCAACGUGUGUCUGAAGACCCGGAGGCGGCUGAUUCAGGACCACAUACACUUUGUUUUUCUCCCUUUCUAUCGCUCCAACCUUGGAUGCCUCAGAGCGCCGCAGUGCUCGAGGUGGAGCCGUCCACAAUAGGACGAGUCUGGGAAGCCGCGGUGCUUGGUGAAGUUUUCUAACCUUCGGGGAGUUUUCAAGGAUUGCGGAGCUGAAUGCGGCAUCAACGCAGGCGGGGAUCGUUCUCACAGCCUACUGGUGUCAUCGUCGUCUUCAUCACCGAGCUGCUCCUCUGACCAUCGCCGUGUGAUAUGUCAACUUUACUAAACAGACGAGUCUGUUAUUAAAGAUGAAAUUAUUGAGUCAUAAAUUAAA